rnacentral:rRNA from 1 species
CCCUUAGAUGUUCUGGGCAGCACGCGCGCUACAAUGGUCUUCGCAAACGGAUGCAUUCUCGAAGGAGAAUGCCAAUCUUGGAAUCUAUGCCUUGGUCGGGACAGUUGCUUGCAAUUUUUCGACUCGAACCAGGAAUUCCUUGUAAUCGUGAUUCAUCACAUCACGAUGAAUACGUCCCUGCCCUUUGUACACACCGCCCGUCGCUCCUACCGAUCGAAGAGUUAGGUGAAUUGUUUUGAUCGAUAAGAUUUGACUAUGGUCAACUCUCGUUGUGAAAUUCUGUGAAUCUGACUGUUGAGAGGAAGGAAAAGUCGUAACA